rnacentral:lncRNA from 1 species
AUGAAUGUUAAGAGCAGAAGUUGCGCACGGAGUAAACGUGAAGGAAGCCGUUGUUUCCAAGAUGGGGAGAGGAUAACCAAGGGAGCAAAGUCUCAGGAGAAUUGCGGAAGAAGUUGCCAGAAGGGGCAGCGGCAUUGGUCAGUACAGACACUUCCCCUUUGCGAGCACAGCAGAGGAAGAGAAAAUGAUACUAGAGAAGAGAGAUGGAGAGAAAUUUUGGAAACUAAUGCUAAGGUGGCCAUGAUUUUCUCACUGCAAGUGAAGAUUUGGGAGAUUAAAUUGCUGUUCGAACAGAGAUGUUUCCCUCUGGGGCUUGGGCUUUGCUCCCAUGCUCUCUGGAAUCACCCAAGGGCCAAGCAAAGGAGAGGGUGGUGGCCAAAACAGACCACAGGAAGGACGAGGCCUCUGGUGUUGAUGUCUAUAUUGUAAUUGAUGAGUUGGCAUUGACUAUCAUAACUCAACCUCCCUCCCACAGCAAGCACAUCCAUUGAGGCUGUGAGAGCCUGCUGUGCACAGGGCUAUGGAGAAAAGACAUGUUCUGUUAAAUCAGAACCUGACAGAGCAGAGAGAACCAAUGGGCUGUUUACCCAGCUUUCUUUCAUCUCUUAGACAACCGCUAGAAGGACAUUUCCUAAGGGGAUAUUUUCUGAUGUCCCGGUCCCACUGGGAUUGUGGAGAGUGACUGUCCUAAUGUGCCACGGCUCUAUAUUAUCCUCUGAUCUCCAAGAUGGCAGACUCAUGUGAAGCCUUAAGGGAGUGUCACUUGCAUUAAGAAUAUUCUAGAGCCAACUAGGUUGUUUUCCAGCUUAGCUUUCUGUUUUAUUUUGACUUCACAGUUGAGAGAGUAUCAAAUAUAGAGGGUAAGACUCUGAUCAUAUUGGUAGGUGGAUCUUGUUUUGAAUCUCACUGCAACUCUGAUGAUUUUGCAUGACCUUCACAAAGUUAUUUUAACCUCUUUUCCAUUCUUCACCUGUAAAAAGACAUGAGUACCUACUUAAUCUACUAUGAACAGUAAAUGAGAAAACAUAUAUAAAAUUUUUAGGUAUAGCCAGCAUGUAGUGGGUACUCACAUAGCUGAAUUCAAAGAUGGCAAGAGAGAGAAUCCAGGGCUCCUUAUUCCUUCUUGUAUCACAAGAUUUGGAGACUUUUUUGGUUUGUUUUCUUAAACUGUUAUGAGCUUCCAGUGUACUUUGGGCAUGAAUCAAAAUGAAAGUUAGUCACUCAGUUGUGUCGGAUUCCUUGCAACCCCAUGAACUGUAGCCUUCCAGGCUCCUCUGUCCAUGGAAUUCUCCAGUCAGGAAUACUAGAGAAGAUCCCCUUCUCCAGGGGAUCUUCCUGACCUAGGGAUUGAACUCAGGUCUCCCUCAUUGCAGGCAGAUUCUUUACUGCCUGAGCCAGCAAGGAAGCCCUACUUUGAGCAUUUCUUUAUGUAAUUAAGCAGGGAAGUCAAUUUAAAGCUUCUGUCAUUAGCUUUAUUUUUAAUUAAGUGACUUGUUGAAAGGCAGACUACUAGGUCUCUCUGGUCAGUAAGUUUUAUCAUAUACUAAAUCUAAUCCAUUGAUAUUGACCACUUAGGACAUGGUAGUGAGGAUUUUCUAGGCAAGAUUGAAAGAAUCUAGGCUAUGAUUAGUGAUGUCAGUGCAAGACAUGGUUAGGAUUGUGACUUAACCUCUUCCACAUAUGUGCUGACUCUGUAUAGACCCUGAGGUCAUGGAUCACACAUGCAAGUCAGAGGCCAAAAAAUGUUACAUAAAUUGCAGAAGUGCCAAUGCUCAUGAAGAAGUUACCUGCUGAUUUGAAGAGGCUAAAGCAGUGGCUGUCAUUAAAACCAAGGCCACCAAACGGUGGAUGGCUAUAAUGAAAAAGAGACAGCAUUUUGCAGUCUUGUACUUGGAAAAUGACAGUGCAUUGUGCGUGUAUAAAUCUGGAGCCUCUAGAAUUGACAGGUUUAAGACUGUGUCUGCACAAUCUUGGGGAAAUGUUUACAAAGUUUAAAAAAAAGUGCCAAUCAACUGGUGGAUGGCAUCAGGACUUGCCUGAUUUGCUGCUUCGUGUCUGUUCCUCCCCACAGUUGGAAUUAUUUGAGUCCCAUGUGCAGCUCAGCUGGGGCCACCCCAUACCCUGAACCUAAUUCUUCCUGCUGUCAACAUAGAUUUUAAGAACUCUAGUGGGCUUUGAGGUCACCUAGCACCACCCAUCCUGGCAUCUAAGCCAGCUGUGGUCUGAGUCUGGUCUUGUUGCCUUGAGCAAAGGGUGAGAUCCACCUUUCUGAUAUCUUUGAAGGUAGGCCUAUCGUCACCUUGUUGGUCUAGAUCUCUAACAUGAUUUUUUCCACUGGAUUUUACAUAUACCUGUAAGGGUGUCUGUCCUCUUUCUUUCAUGUAUCAGAGACUUUCUAAUUAUACAGCCUGCAUCUUAUUAGUGAGGUUUUUCACUUCCACAGGGGACGUUUAGGUGACGGAAACAAGGUGAGCUUUGAAAUUAGCCAGACCUAGCUUCCAAUUUCAGCUCAGCGUUUUCUUAACUACGUGGCAUUUAAGCACAUGGGUCCAUUUUCUCAUUUAUAAAAUGUUAAUAACACAGCAGGGUGUUAUAUCCUGAAGGAAAUAGACAAACACAUUGGAGGGCCUAGCGUAUAGGAGUUGCUAACGCAUGAACUACCGACAACAAAAUAACACUAACAAUAGCUAUUAUUUAUUGAGCACUUACCAUGUGUGAGACAUUGAUCCAAACAUUCUCCAUAGUAAAAUUAAUACUAUAUUUCACAUUUCAUAGACAAAGAAUCUGAGGCUUAGCAAGGUUAGUAACUUAUCCAACCUUACCCAGAGAAUCCAGGGCCGAGCCUGGGUUUAAGUCAAGAGCCGCUUAUCCAACCUAAAGCCUGACCUCCUUUCAUCACACUACAGGGUCAACAGUAACAUAAGCAUCUUCCACCCAUUUGGGUGAAUGUUCUUGUGUUCUCUGAAGCUGACUUUGUCCCAGGCAUUUACUGUGCCCCUCUGGACAUAAAUAAUGGUAAUUUUCCUCUACCCACUCCCCUCAGUAUGCCUCAUUCUGUUCCCAUGGAACAUUUUAUGGCUGACCAUGUCAAAAGAUAUGAGACCCUCAAGUCUAUUAAGACAGAUAUAUUUGAGUUUUAAAAUACUGAGUUGAUUUUAUAAAGAGUCCUGGAAGCAAUUUUCAAAUCUGGGCUCCCAACUAACAAAGUAUUGAUACUUUCCCUUUAUUAAUGGGAAAAUAAGCAUCUCCUUGGAAAAGGGAAAUGGCAACGCACUCCAGUAUUCUUGCCUGGAGAAUCCCAGGGACAGAGUAGCCUGGCGGGCUACAACCCAUGGGGUUGCAAGAGUUGGGUAUGACUUAGCAACUAAACCGCCACCAUCAAACAUUUCCUAUAAAUGGGUUUUUCCUUGCACGGCCCUUCUCAUCGGAUAUGCAGGACUGAAUGGGCAUAUUUCAUGCAUGAGGAUGUCAUGUGAGACUAGGGGAACAGGGUGUCGAUCCAGAGCAGACCUUAUGUAUGAAUCUGCUUGGCCCUGCCCUAUGAUGGUGCUUCCUGCUCCCUUUGUUCUUAUUGGGUGUUGUUUCAUUAAAGGUUAGGCAGAACAAUGAGAAUUUGCUGUGACUCCAGGA